CCAGACUCCUACGGGAGGCAGCAGUGGGGAAUAUUGCACAAUGGGGGAAACCCUGAUGCAGCGACGCCGCGUGAGUGAAGAAGUAUUUCGGUAUGUAAAGCUCUAUCAGCAGGGAAGAAGAAAGACGGUACCUGACUAAGAAGCCCCGGCUAACUACGUGCCAGCAGCCGCGGUAAUACGUAGGGGGCAAGCGUUAUCCGGAUUUACUGGGUGUAAAGGGAGCGUAGACGGAGAAGCGAGUCUGAAGUGAAAGCCCGUGGCUUAACCACGGGACUGCUUUGGAAACUGUUUGACUAGAGUGCUGGAGAGGUAAGUGGAAUUCCUAGUGUAGCGGUGAAAUGCGUAGAUAUUAGGAGGAACACCAGUGGCGAAGGCGGCUUACUGGACAGUAACUGACGUUGAGGCUCGAAAGCGUGGGGAGCAAACAGGAUUAGAUACCCGCGUA
rnacentral:rRNA from 1 species